rnacentral:rRNA from 1 species
GAAUUGCGAUAAGUAAUGUGAAUUGCAGAAUUCAGUGAAUCAUCGAAUCUUUGAACGCACCUUGCACCCUUUGGUAUUCCGAAGGGUAUGCCCGUUUGAGUGUCAUUGUAAUCUCACACCCCUAGAUUUAUUUCAAAGGGCGGUGGACUUGGAUGUUGCCGCGUCAAGCGGCUCGUCUUAAAUGCAUUAGUGCAACUUUCGGUUGGACAUAGUACAGCGUGAUAAGUAUCUUCGCUGGCUCUCCUCACGGAGGUGUUCGAACGGUAAGCUCUGUGCUUCUAAUCGUCCCCUGGUGGACUAAGCUUCGGCUUAUUUGACAACUUGACCUCAAAUCGGGUAGGACUACCCGCUGAACUUAAGCAUAUCAAUAAGCGGAGGAAAAGAAACUAACAAGGAUUCCCCUAGU